rnacentral:rRNA from 1 species
GCUAUAGAUGGGCCUAUAUUGGAUUAGCUAGUUGGUAGGGUAAAGGCUACCAAGGCGACGAUCCAUAGCUGGUUUGAGAGAAUGAUCAGCCACACUGGGACUGAGACACGGCCCAG